AUCAACUUCACCGGGUUUCUCUUGGUUUUGAUGUUUUCUUGAAGUAGUACUCUUACUUCGUUCAUUUUUGCAGUGUUCAUGGAUGUGUCUUAAAUUAUCGGGCUAGCACAGGAGCAGUAUUGGUGAAAAUGAUUUUUCGGAGUGGCCAGAUUUUCACUUCUCUUUUUGUGAGUUUCUUGUUGCUGAUUAUUUGUGGCAUGACCUAUGGGCAAUGAUAUCUUCUGCUUGAAGAGCAUCAAAGAGUCCCUUAGAGACCCUUACAACUAUUUGCAAUCUUGGAAUUUCAACAACAAAAUGAAGGCUUUGUUUGUAAGUUUAAUGGGGUUGAAUGUUGGCACCCUGAUGAGAACAGAGUCCUUAAUCUAAAGCUCUCAAAUAUGGAUCAAGCAGUCUAACUCAGUUAGUUAAUUGAGGAGAGUGUGUGAAUAUUGUUAAUCUUAGGUAUUAUGUUCAAUUCAUAAAAAAAACUUUCAAAUAUGGAUCUCAAGGGCCAAUUUCCUCGUCAUUCAAAAUUGCACAAGCUUAACUGGAUUAGACUUUUCAAUUAACACUCUCUCUGGAACCAUUCCAGAAAAUACUGCCACUCUUCUACCAUUUGUGACAUCUCUUGAUCAAUCUUCAAAUAAAUUUUCUGGAGCAAUACCUAUGAGUCUUGCAAAUUGUACCGACCUUAAUGCCCUUAAACUUGAUCAGAAUCGACUAAGUUAUCAUUUUCCCCAACAGUUGGGCCUUCUCCAACGACCCAGGACAUUUACUGUGUCAAACAAUUCUUUGACGGGGCCUGUUCCAAACUUUACCAAUGGUCAUGUUGUGGUAAAUUAUUCAAAUAAUGAAGGGCUAUGUGGACCUUCAUUGAGGCCUUGCCCCAAUAAUUCAAGCACUGGUCACUGAAGUUGAAUAGAGGUAUCUUGAAUUGGAAAAACUAAAGCAAAAUAUGGAGUAAUAAUAAGAGUAUUGAAGUCU